GACGAACGCUGGCGGCGUGCCUAAUACAUGCAAGUCGAGCGAAGUUUUUCUGGUGCUUGCACCGGAAAAACUUAGCGGCGAACGGGUGAGUAACACGUAAAGAACCUGCCUCAUAGACUGGGACAACUAUUGGAAACGAUAGCUAAUACCGGAUAAUAGCAUUAACUGCAUGGUUGAUGUUUAAAAGUUGGUUUUGCUAACACUAUGAGAUGGCUUUGCGGUGCAUUAGCUAGUUGGUGGGGUAAAGGCCUACCAAGGCGACGAUGCAUAGCCGACCUGAGAGGGUGAUCGGCCACACUGGGACUGAGACACGGCCCAGACUCCUACGGGAGGCAGCAGUAGGGAAUCUUCCGCAAUGGGCGAAAGCCUGACGGAGCAACGCCGCGUGAGUGAAGAAGGAUUUCGGUUCGUAAAGCUCUGUUGUUAGGGAAGAAUGAUUGUGUAGUAACGAGACACAGUAGAGACGGUACCUAACCAGAAAGCCGCGGCUAACUACGUG
rnacentral:rRNA from 1 species